AUUGAACGCUGGCGGCAGGCCUAACACAUGCAAGUCGAACGGUAACAGAAAGCAGCUUGCUGCUUUGCUGACGAGUGGCGGACGGGUGAGUAAUGUCUGGGAAACUGCCUGAUGGAGGGGGAUAACUACUGGAAACGGUAGCUAAUACCGCAUAACGUCGCAAGACCAAAGCGGGGGACCUUCGGGCCUCUUGCCAUCGGAUGUGCCCAGAUGGGAUUAGCUAGUAGGUGGGGUAACGGCUCACCUAGGCGACGAUCCCUAGCUGGUCUGAGAGGAUGACCAGCCACACUGGAACUGAGACACGGUCCAGACUCCUACGGGAGGCAGCAGUGGGGAAUAUUGCACAAUGGGCGCAAGCCUGAUGCAGCCAUGCCGCGUGUAUGAAGAAGGCCUUCGGGUUGUAAAGUACUUUCAGCGGGGAGGAAGGGAGUAAAGUUAAUACCUUUGCUCAUUGACGUUACCCGCAGAAGAAGCACCGGCUAACUCCGUG
rnacentral:rRNA from 1 species